rnacentral:sRNA from 1 species
AGCUCUUUGAGGUGAUUGAGACUGAGAAGACGCUGUACCUGGUGAUGGAGUAUGCAAGUGCCGGAGAAGUGUUUGACUACCUCGUGUCACAUGGCCGCAUGAAGGAGAAGGAAGCUCGAGCCAAGUUCCGACAGAUUGUCUCGGCUGUGCACUAUUGUCACCAGAAAAAUAUUGUACACAGGGACCUGAAGGCUGAGAACCUCUUGCUGGAUGCCGAGGCCAACAUCAAGAUUGCUGACUUUGGCUUCAGCAACGAGUUCACGCUGGGCUCAAAGCUGGACACGUUCUGCGGGAGCCCCCCAUAUGCCGCCCCGGAGCUGUUUCAGGGCAAGAAGUACGAUGGGCCGGAGGUGGACAUCUGGAGCCUGGGAGUCAUCCUGUACACCCUCGUCAGCGGCUCCCUGCCCUUCGACGGGCACAACCUCAAGGAGCUGCGGGAGCGAGUCCUCAGAGGGAAGUACCGGGUCCCUUUCUACAUGUCAACAGACUGUGAGAGCAUCCUGCGGAGAUUUUUGGUGCUGAACCCAGCUAAACGCUGUACUCUCGAGCAAAUCAUGAAAGACAAAUGGAUCAACAUCGGCUAUGAGGGUGAGGAGUUGAAGCCAUACACAGAGCCCGAGGAGGACUUCGGGGACACCAAGAGAAUCGAGGUGAUGGUGGGUAUGGGCUACACACGGGAAGAAAUCAAAGAGGCCUUGACCAGCCAGAAGUACAACGAAGUGACCGCCACCUACCUCCUGCUGGGCAGGAAGACUGAGGAGGGUGGGGACCGGGGCGCCCCAGGGCUGGCCCUGGCACGGGUGCGGGCGCCCAGCGACACCACCAAUGGAACAAGUUCCAGCAAAGGCACCAGCCAUAGCAAAGGGCAGCGGAGUUCCUCUUCCACCUACCACCGCCAGCGCAGGCAUAGCGAUUUCUGUGGCCCAUCCCCUGCACCCCUGCACCCCAAACGGAGCCCGACGAGCACGGGGGAGGCGGAGCUGAAGGAGGAGCGGCUGCCAGGCCGGAAGGCGAGCUGCAGCGCCGCGGGGAGCGGGAGUCGAGGGCUGCCCCCCUCCAGCCCCAUGGUCAGCAGCGCCCACAACCCCAACAAGGCAGAGAUCCCAGAGCGGCGGAAGGACAGCAUGAGCACCCCCGUGAGUGACCAGGGCUGGGGGGCAGGGCUGGGGGCGCCACCCGGGCCACAUUCCUCAGGCCCUGCCUUCAUCUCAUUCCCCAGACAGAACUCCUUCUUACCAACUCCUUCUUAUACCCAUUCAUUCAUUCAACAAAUAUUUAUCGAGUGCCUCUGUUUGCCUGAGCUCAGUUUAUACACUAACACUUUAUGUUAGUGUAUAAAUUAGUGUUCUGUGUCAAAGAAGUGCAGAACGUACUCUUGGCAGAAAGGAUUGAAUACAGGAAAUUAAGUGCUUUUAAAAAUGUGGGAAGGGCCAGGCACGGUGGCUCAUGCUUGUAAUCCUGGCAUUUUGGGAGGCCGAGGCGGGAGGAUCACUUGAGGUCAGGAGUUUAAGAAGCAUAGCAAGAUGCCAUCUCAACUAAAAAUCAAAAAAACUAGCCAGGCAUCAUGUUAUGUACCUGUGGUCCCAGCUACUCGAAAGACCGAGGUGGGAGAAUCAAUUGAGCCUGGGAGGUUGAGGCUAUAGGGAGUUGUGUUCCCGCCACUGCACUCCAUCCUGGGUGACAGAGCAAAACCCUGUCUCAAUAAAUCAAUAAAUAAAAUAUUAAUAGUAAUUUAAAAAAUCAGGCCAGGCGCAGUGGCUUACGCUUGUAAUCCCAGCACUUUGGGAGGCAGAGGUGGGCGGAUCACUUGAGGUCAGGAAUUUGAGACCCGCCUGGCCAAUAUGGUGAAAUCCUGUCUCUACUAAAAGUAUAAAGAUCAGCUGGGUGUGGUGGUGGGCACCUGUAAUCCCAACUACUUGGGAGGCUGUGGCAGGAGAAUCACUUGAACCCAGGAGGCAGAGGCUACAGUGAGCUGAGAUUGUGCUACUGCACUCCAGGAUGGGUGACAGAGUGAGACUCCAUUUC